CCCCUUGCGGAGGGCGUCUCCUCGAGGAGGAACCAUAGGCCGCCUUUGCCUUCGGGUCUUGUCUCGGACGUUGCUCCAGAUGUGGUAGCAGAUGAAGCCGUAGCAGAUGGCCAAGAUGAGGACGGGCGCCACGAAGAUGCUGCCGGUGAUCCAAGUGACGUAGGCGCGGAGCCCCCAGGGCUUGAUGAAGUGACCCCAGCAGUCGUAGACUCGCGAACCGGUCUCCACCUCGGUGAGCGAGAAGAUGAAGUACUGCGGCAUGCUGAGCACGAAGCUGAGCGCCCAGGCAGUCGCGAUCAUGCAGUGCGAGCGCUUGGCGGGCUGCUGCAGCGUCUUCAGCGGGUGGCACACGGCGAUGUAGCGGUCGGCCGUCAUCACCACCAGCAUGUACGCCGAGGCGAACAUGCCGAAGACCUGCAGGUGCUUCACCACGCGGCACAGGCCGUCCGUCCCGUGGAAGCGAUGUAGACACAAUCUACCCAUGGUCUUGGACAACCCUAAACCAUGAUAUGGAAAUGUGCCUUCUGAAGUACAUACGCUACAGUGUCUGACACUCUACGUAGAAUAUCAUAUUCUUAAUACGUUACAACUCUGCAUUCAUUCAUGUUCUUUAUGUUAACUCGCUGAUGAGGAGCCAGGCAAUGCUAACGCUCCACCAAAUCUGGUGGUGUGUGGGAAAGACUAUGAUGAAUGGCUGAGGGUGAUGGCUAGUUUUCUUUAUGUCUUUAAAAAUGUUGCUGUGCAGAUUUUUGAACAAGCCGUGGGAGUUACUGAUUACUAGAAGACAGUCCUGAAACUCUAUAAUGAUCUGUCUGAGGCCUUCAAGUUUCAGAAAUUAAUUAAAAAUGAGUACAUGUAUUCCUGUACCACCACACAUUGGGGGGACAUGCACACUCGUCGGGGCCAAAAAGCCAUCCUCUGCUGCUAGUUCUUUAGUAACCCCAUCCACCCCAUCUGCUGAUGAACCUUCAGAGGUGUCUCAAUCAAACCAAUCUGCUGAUCCACGGGGUGCUGAUGAACAGUUGGUACCUGUCAUGGACCUUCUACAGAAGUACUUUUCCGUUGUUGAAUCCUGCUAUGGGUUCUCGAUCAGAUAUCUCUGCAGAA